CAUAUGUAAGAAAAAACAAAAUAGCGAUUCGCAAGUCGACUCGAAUCAGAUCUUAAACCAAAUAACACAUAAUUUGAAUCUUGAAGGGCUGAUCAGGGCCGUCCACUUUAUAACAAACAGCAUUGAAGAAACCGACACCGACAUCAUCAUCAAUUCAUCAUCUAUCAAAAAUUAAUUAAUCGUUCCUCCCAAUCCCAUCGUCUCUGGAUCUCUCCGACGUCGAAAAUCGACGAAUAAAUGCUGCAGUUAUUCUUCGCCGUGGCCUUCUCGGCGGUUCCACUGACGCUAUAUGUGCCGCCGAUCAGGAGCCUCAGUCUUUUCGUCGGAUCCUUCCAGCAGCUCGUCGGUCACAUCACCGUCUACACCCUCCGCAUCUGCCCUCGCUUACGCCUCGCCUUCUCUCGGAUCGUCUCCCCUAUCCUUCGCUCUCACUUCCGCGACAGGGCUUGAUUCUGAGUUCAAACAGUGUAGAUGUGCACACACAUAAAAGGAUUAACAGAAAAAAGUAUUUUCUUCAAGAAUAAAGUUCAUCAUCCAAUUUCUAUGAAGCAUAAACGCACUGCAAUUUCCAAAAAGCUGAAGUUUCAUUGUAUAAUCUGUUUCCACUUUGAAGAAAAAGCUUUUGAACCUAAACCACCAAAUGUCCGGUUGAAGAUCUGUGAUAUAGUACGAAAUUAGAGACCUAAUGAGUAUCCAUUUUUUUAAAAACUCAAAUGAUUCAUACUCUAAAGCAGAAGGGUUAUUUUUUAAAGAUCCCUCUUUCAACUCAAA